rnacentral:rRNA from 1 species
GACGAACGCUGGCGGCGUGCUUAACACAUGCAAGUCGAGCGGAUAGGCCCUGCUUUUGUGUGGUGUUCGAGUCGCGCACGUGUGUGUUACACAUGAGUAACCUUCCCAUUACUGUGUGAUAUCUUCAGGCGACUGGGGCUAAUACCUGCUACGUGCGCCUGCUGCUUGGUGAGGUUUGGAAAGUUUCGGCGGGUGUGGGUGGACUGGCGGCUUAUCAGCUUGUUGGUUGGGUAGUGGCUUACCAAGGCCUUGAAGGGUAGGCGGCCUGAGAGGGUGACCGGCGACAUUGGGACUGAGAUACGGCCCAGACUCCUACGGGAGGCAGCAGUGGGGAAUAUUGCACAAUGGGCGGAAGCCUGAUGCAGCAACGCCGCGUGCGGGAUGACGGCCUUCGGGUUGUAAACCGCUUUAGCCUGUGACGAAGCGUGAGUGACGGUAAUGGGUAAAGAAGCACCGGCUAACUACGUG